UGGCAAAGAUAGUACAGAAAGUUCCCGUGUACUGUACACCCAGUUUCCCCUAUUAUUAACAAUCUUACAUUCUUUCUGUCACAUUUCUGACAAAUAGUAACAUCUGCUUAAAUACUUCCAGUGACUGGCAACCCAGUAUGUCCUAAAGAGUCCCACUGUCAGAUGAUUUUAGAGCAGUGUGACUUGAGAUGUGGUUCUAGGACCAGCAGCAUCUGCACAACCUGGAAUCCAGUUAGAAAUGAAGAGUCUCAGACCCCAAUCCAGACUUGAAUCAGAAUCUACAUUCAACAGGAUCUCCAGGCGGUGCAGAGACACAGAUGCUGUUGAGCAAGUCCGUAAAAUGGUCAAGGCUUUACCUUAAGAAUAUUUUAUGAAACCUUAAAUUCCUAGAAGGAAUGACAAAGCCAUUUUUUUGUGUGUAGGUCAGGUGACAUACUUGUCAUCAUAUUCCAACUCCAACAGGUGACAUCAUAUUCCAACUCACUGGCCACACGACUGGUGCAGGGAUGGACCUGUAACCCACAGAAAGAAGAGAAGAAGGCACAGACACAGAGGAGAAGGC